UCUUUUCUGCCAGGAGACUACAGUUAGGAAGUGACUCCUGGAAGAAAAUCCUUCAGGAUUCAGGACGGUCCUCGUCCUCGUAGGACACUCCAGGCACCUGCCUAGAGUAAGAUGGCGCUUUUCCUAAGCACCUCUCCGGGAGAGAGAUUUCCAUAACGAGGGUCACGCACUUGGAGGCCAUCUUUGCCAUUACCCAAGAUGGUGAGCCGCGCAGCCUCACCGUUUCCAGGUUUCAAUAUGGCUCCCCGCGUCACCGAAAAGGUUAAUCUCAGAAACUAACUUGAACUCGCGCGGAAGUGACGCAACAGAAGUUGUCGCGGUUUGCAUCUCCACCUCCCGUGCUCCGCCCCCGGUUUUACGUUUCGCCCCCGGCAGCGCGGACAGCGGAGCCAAGAUGGCGGCCGAGUUGGAGUACGAGUCUGUGCUGUGUGUGAAGCCGGACGUCAGCGUCUACCGGAUUCCGCCCCGGGCCUCCAACCGCGGUUACAGGGCAUCUGACUGGAAAUUAGACCAGCCUGAUUGGACUGGUCGCCUCCGAAUCACUUCAAAAGGGAAGACUGCCUAUAUCAAACUCGAGGAUAAAGUUUCAGGGGAGCUCUUUGCUCAGGCACCAGUAGAACAAUAUCCUGGUAUUGCUGUGGAGACAGUGACAGAUUCCAGCCGCUACUUUGUAAUCCGGAUCCAGGAUGGUACUGGUAAGAGAACUGGGAUUUUGAGUGGAACGCAGCCAUGAAAAGUGUGUCUGAUUGCAUUUAUCUUUCUUUGGUUUACUUCAUUUUUUCUUCCCUUUCUCUAAAGUUGCUAUAGUUGCUAAAGGAAAAGUAUUAACGUGUUAUUUGUAAUAGAUAAGCACAAGUUCAAGAUGUGGUAAUUCAUAUGUAGACUUAAAUAAAUCAAAAACACAUAGCUAACAAAUGAAUUAACACAUUUUGCACUUUAGGAGGCCGAGGUGGGUGGAUCACCUGAGGUCAGGAGUUCGAGGCCAGCCUGACCAGUAUGAUGAAACCCCGUCGCUACUGAAAAUACAAAACUUAGCCAGGCGUGGUGGCAGGUGCCUGUAAUCCCAGCUACUCGGGUGGCUGAGACAGGAGAAUCGCUUGAAUUGGGGAAGUGGAGGUUGCUGAGAUCAUGCCAUUGCACUCCAGCCUGGGCAACAAGAGCGAAACUCCAUCUCAAAAAAAAAAAAAAAACCACACACUUCUUGCCUGUUUAUUGUUUGUGGUAGUUUUUGGUGGGACUAUCUUGAAUCAUCUUACGUGUGGGGCAGUUAUUCUUACUCUUUUCUCCAUGGUCUAUAACAGAGGUUGGCAAACAGACAAAUAAUAAAUAUUUUAGGUUUUGCAGGUCAAGUGGCCUCUGUUGCAACUACUCAGUUUUGCUGUUGUAGUGUGAAAGCACUGUAGAAAAUAUGUAAACACGUUGAUAUCACUGUGUUCCAUGAAACUUUUUCUACAAAACCAAGCUAUGGCAGGAUAAAGCCCAUGGGCUCUAUGUAGUUUAUCGACUCUUGGUCUAUGAGAAGAUGUUUCACAUUCAGACUUUGUCUAGUUAGGGUGACUGUUAUGUUUUCAUUGGGCAAAAUUUGCCGUAGAGCAGCAGUCCUCAACCUUUUUGGCACCAGGGACCCGUUUUGUGGAAGACAGUUUUCCACAGACCGGCAUUAGGGGAUGGUUUCAGGAUGAUUCAAGUGCAUCACAUUUAUUGUACACUUUAUUUCUAUUAUUAUUACAUUGUAAUGUAUAAUGAAAUAAUUAUACAACUCACUAUAAUGUAGAAUCAGUGGGAGCCUUGAGCUUGUUUUCCCCCAACUAGACGGGGGUGAUGGGAGACCCCCAUCUGGGGGUGAUGGGAGACAGUGACAGAUCAUCAGGCAUCAGAUUCUCAUAGGGAGCACAUAACCUAGAUCCCUCACAUGUGCAGUUCACAGUAGGGGUCACACCCCUCUGAGAAUCUAAUGCUGCCACUGAUCUGACAGGAGGCAGAGCUCAGGUGCUAAUGCAAGUGAUGGGGAGCGGCUGUAAAUACAAUGAAGCUUUGCUCUCUUGUGUACAACUCACCUCCUGCUGCAUGGCCUGGUUUCUCACAGGCCACAGACUGGUGCCGGGGGUUGGGGGCUCCUGCCAUAGAGGAUACUUCUUAGUUGAGUCUUCCUACCUUUUCCACAGGGCGCAGUGCUUUCAUUGGCAUUGGCUUCACAGAUCGGGGAGAUGCCUUCGACUUUAAUGUCUCCUUGCAGGAUCACUUCAAGUGAGUGAAGCUUGUCCUUAGUUACGAGGUCGAAUGCUUGUAGGAAUGCUGCUUCUCACGUGAAUGGGCAGUAUCUCUUUUCCUCCUGGUUUCUUUAUUUCUUCAACUAUUUCAUUGUGAAUAUAAAUCUCCUCAUUCACUUUUGUUUCCUUGGGUCAUCUUUGUAUCUAUUCUGUUUCCUUUCCUUAUAGCCUGCAAUAUGUUUUAGAUCCCUUGUGCAGUAGUUUGAAAUGAUGCUCUGUCGAAUGUUGCCCCGUCUUUUAGGUGGUAGAGGGAGGCCUAUGGUAACAGCAGGGCUUUAUGUGGGGAGUUGUGUGCCACUCUUGUUACCUUAUGUAGCUGACAUGUUUUGUGACUUUUGCAACAUUUCUUUAGUCCACUUGAUUUUGGUGCAGCUGUGGUGACAGCACUAUGCACACUGUGAGCUUCCUACCUCAAGAGCAAGCAUAUCUCUCCUUUCCUGCCUCAGGACUCUCUGAAGUUAUAGAAGGCUAAGAGCAAGCUUUAACUUGGAGAGACUAAGAAACUAACACCCCCUCAGGAGCAGCCCUCAACUGUGGGGAAUGGGAAUUGGUGGCUAAAUGCCAUCCUUUUGGAAGAGGCAAUUCUAAUACGUAUUCCUUGAGAUUUCUCAGAGAGUCCCCAGUGGAAUUGAACCCCAGUAGUUUUCUUUCUUGGCUUUUUUCCCUUUUGUUUCUCACUCUUUUUUAUCUCUCACUGUGUUUUCUGGAAUCUCAUUUCAUAAAAGUAAAUACACCCAAAUUUGUAUGUCAGACUCUGCUUUCAGGAAAUCUCAAACUAAGAUAACUUGCUGUGUUCCCAAAGGUGGGUAAAGCAGGAAUCUGAGAUUUCCAAGGAAUCUCAAGAAAUGGAUGCUCGUCCUAAGUUGGAUCUGGGCUUCAAGGAAGGACAAACCAUCAAGUUGAGUAUCGGGAACAUUACAAACAAGAAAGGAGGUGCUUCCAAGCCCAGGACUGCAAGGGGUGGGGGCCUGAGCUUACUCCCACCCCCGCCAGGAGGCAAAGUCACUAUUCCCCCACCAUCCUCCUCAGUUGCCAUCAGCAAUCAUGUCACCCCACCACCCAUUCCGAAAUCUAACCAUGGAGGCAGUGAUGCAGAUAUCCUUUUAGAUUUGGAUUCUCCUGCUCCUGUCACGACACCAGCACCAACUCCAGUUUCUGCAAGCAAUGACUUGUGGGGAGACUUCAGCACUGCAUCCAGCUCUGUUCCAAACCAGGCACCACAGCCAUCCAACUGGGUCCAGUUCUGAAUGGCAUUGGCAGGACAUUAAGGACAGACUUGAGGAAUAAAAAUGACCUUGAGGGCACCAAUCUGUGAGGGAAGUUAGGAACCCAUUUCCUCCCCAGAAUCAAAAUGACUGGACAAUCUUUUUCGUAGCUUCUCCAUCACAUUCAAGCUGGUUUAUGUCACUCCCCUGUGUUGUUACUUGUACAGCCAAGAAAGUAUCUGUUAAUCUCCUGCUUAGUACCAAGGUAGGGGACUAGUGAAUCUUAUCAUAGUUUUGGCUGACUAUGCAGGGCUCAAAAGGCCAGCGUCUGUUUGAGGGGGAAUGACCUCUGACAUCUGUAAAAUUUGUCUCAUCUUUUAAAUUCUUUAACUUAUUUCAAAAUCAUCUCAUGACCCUCGUGUGCCUCUUUGUGAAGCCCUAUUUAGCAAUUUCAGGGGAGUCAAAAACCUUGCAACUUCCUUCUCCACUAACCCAGGACUAAAAAUGGACAGGCUGACCUUAGUGUUUACAAAUUCAGAAUUUUGAUAGGGGUAGAUAUGGAGAAAGACCUAUUUCCUGGGUCUCUGCUGUGUAGUCUCCUUCAGGCUUAUUGUACACAGUGAACAUCCAGUGCUGGGUGCAGCUCCAUCACCCUCUUGUGUGUUUACAUGUCUCUUUCUAUGAUAAGAGGGUUGUGUUGGUGGCACCUCCACUACUCUUUUCUGUUUGUUGAAUUUGAAUUGUGUAACAUCUUUGACCAGUGGGUGUUUCUGUAAUGAAGGAGGUUCAAGAGGCUGUGCUUUCCAAGUGAUAGUCUAUAGGAAUGUUUGAUUUCUUGCAGCUCCAUCUGGUUGCUGCAUUUGAAGCAUGGCAUUAAUUUGUAUUUGCCCUGUUGUUUGACCUUAAGUUGAAGGGUUUAGAGUUUUUAACCUGAUCUGUAGAGCAGAGAGGUUGAAAGCACUUAACUCUUGUUUAGUAUCCUCAUUGCCUUGCUGCCUGGGUAUCUGGCCCCUUUUCAUAAACAUUUCUUUUCAGUUCAUGUAGUUCUUUAAUAGAAAGCUGCUAUUAUGUAUAUUGUCAUUUGUGAAGGAAGUUGGAGAGUCACAGAUUUACUGUGACAGGUUUUGCCCAAGUCUGUGAUACCUGUCACCCAGGGUAUCUUAAAAGCAAGUUGUUCUCCCACUACUUUCCUUUCCCUCUGCCCUGCCAUUCCUUUUACAAUGCUGUGAAAAAAGUUCUGCUUCUUAGGUGAAUGGGUACUUUCUAUUUUGUUUCUAAAUGAGCAAUUUUGAGGAUGAAAUGGGAAGAUAUCAUUUCUUCCUUUUUGCACCUAUUAGGUAUGUACACUCUCUGGCUGAAGGGAGUCCUUAUGUUUAGUUUCAAAAUAUAUUACUUUCCUGGAUUCCCUUCUUAACGUUUUCUGACUUUGGGUCCAUUUUCUUUUCAUUGCCUCCUUUUCCAGGCAGCUCUAUUCUUGCAGAGCCAUGGCAGGACAUAUUAAAAUUCCAGUAGAAAACACUAAAAGGAAAGUCUGUAGAAUCACUAGUGACUAAAUACUGGGAACCUAUUUUCUCAAUCUUCCUCCAUGUUGUGUUCUUUGUAUUCUCAAGAUGAUAAUAUAUUAUGUAUUUGAAUUCCUGAAAAAUGGAAAAUGUUUAAGAUAUAUGUAUAUAAAGCAUAUGCUGUAUUGGUGC
rnacentral:sRNA from 1 species